UUUUUUCAGAACUUUUUAGUCUGCGAAUAGAGUUUUUACGAACACAAACAGUGUCCCGGCGAGUGUCGCUAACUUCAAAGGGUCCGCGUGUUCAAAAAAUGUUUGUCUGCUUGGUGUAGACGUCUUGAGACAGUUUGUUUUUAAUUUCGUUGUUGUGAUUGAGUGGUUUAGUCUAAUUUUUAUGCGUAAAGAGAAAACGUCGCAAUGUCUAUUAUUAGUAUUUUAAUUUAUUUAUAUCAAAAUAUUGACACGUACAAACCGGUAUAUGCACUUUUAGGAUACUUCUAAAAAAGUGUGGACAGUGGAGGAAACCGCCAAUUUAAUUGAGGACUAUAAAAAUUUUAAAAGCUUAUGGGAUGCUAAACACGCAGACUAUAAAAACAGAAUUAAAAAAACAAGAUGCCUUGAUGGAACUAGGAAAAAUGUGUAACGUGUCCACAGCCGAAGUUGAGCGAAAGUUGGCCAACAUUAAUUCGCAGUAUCGUAGAGAGAGGCGUAAUUAUAAAAAAUAUAAAAAGUCUGGAGCGGCUUCUUCUUUUCGUUCUAAAAGGUUUGGUUAUAAUUUGAUGGCUUUCCUCCGAGACAAAAAUAAACCAAGAACUACAGAAGAGUUCCUAUAUAACGUAUAUGUUUUUUGUAAUGUUCUGUAUCUGAUGAUGGCUGUUUACACAGCCGAAAUGCAUAAUACAUUUACCUAAGUGUCCCACAUGCAUUUUUCUUGGAGAUAAAGACUUCCCCUAUUUGUUAUCUUUAUAUACGCAUUCUCCUACAUUUUCCGGCUGCAGUAAAAUCGACUUACGUAAUACACGAAAUACACUUGCGAGAAUCCCAAAUACAUUUUCUACUAUUCUACGGGCUCUGGACAACAGAUAAUUGAAGAUUCGUUGCCUAGACCUUUUUUCUUGAUGUCCACUAUAUGGUUUCAUUAUGUUCGGAGACAGUGGAAACGAAUCAUCGGCUACGAUUACAUAAGGGAUGGUCUUCGUUUUUCCAGGAAGGGCUUUUUCAGAAGGUAUAUUUAAUGAAGAGGUCUCCAUUAGUUUCCGAAAGGCGGUGCUUUUAAAGACUCCUCCGUCGGAAAUUCGGCCUUGACAACCGACAUUAGCAUACAUAAAUUUAUAGUUAGCAUCUACAAUCGCAAAAAGAACAAUGCUGAAAUAUCCUUUAUAAUUAUAGUAUUCACUAGCACUAAAGUUGGGAGCUUCCACCAUGACAUGUUUUCCGUCCAUAGCACCUAGGCACAACGGGAAGUUCCAUUUUGCGUUGAAGUCAUCUGCAACUUUUUUCCAUUCAUCUGCAGUACUCGGUACCUACAACAAUUGUAAAUCUUAGUGACUUGUAGCUUGUAAACAGUGAUACUUCAUCAGAAAAGGAAACUGAAACUGUCGACAAUGCAGAAUCAUUAAUUUGUACAGCUGAAGAUGCCCGCAUAAAUGAUGAGAAUAAUGAAAAUGUUCGUGAGGUCCAAAAUGACAAAGAAACCGAGAUCCCUCUUUCUACACCAAAAAGAAAAGAAAGCCCUAAAAGAAAACAAAAACCUGCUACAAAAGUUGGAAAAUCCGAAUCAGCUGAAGUUUUGGAAAUGAUGCGAAAUAUUUAUCAGACGAGGAAAUAAACUCCAGCUGUGGAUGAGUUCCAAAUAUUUGGGGAGCUUAUUGCCACAAAGAUAAGGAACCUAAAAACUCCAUAUGCUAGAAGCACUAUACAGAAUAAGAUCAGCAAUCUCCUGUACGAGGCGGAUAUUGGUACUUAUGAUGCACCACUAUCAAGCAAUACUUUCCAUUCAUAUCAUCAUGUGACUAAAAUUGGAAAUAAUGCGCAAUAUUCCAACCCGCCAAGUGUUGCAACAACAAUUGGAUCUCAACAAUACAGUGAUAAUCCGGAUAGUCGUACAUCAGCUUGUUCCUAUAUAGAAUUACAAUCACCCGUCUACAAUAAGCAGUUUUUAAAUGAAUAAAACAUAUUAUUUUAGGGAAAAUAUAAACAGUUUA